AUUGAACGCUGGCGGCAGGCCUAACACAUGCAAGUCGAACGAGUGGCGGACGUGUGUGUAAUGUCUGGAAAACUGCCAGAUGGAGGGGGAUACCUCCUGGAAACGGUAGCUAAUACCGCAUACCAUCGGAUGUGCCACGAUGGGAUUGGCUAGUAGGUGGGGUAAUGGCUCACCUAGGCGACGAUCCCUAGCUGGUCUGAGAGGAUGACCGGCCACACUGGAACUGAGACACGGUCCAGACUCCUACGGGAGGCAGCAGUGGGGAAUAUUGCACAAUGGGCGAAAGCCUGAUGCAGCCAUGCCGCGUGUAUGAAGAAGGCCUUCGGGUUGUAAAGUACUUUCAGCGAGGAGGCGUUACCCGCAGAAGAAGCAACGGCUAACUCCGUGCCAGCAGCCGCGGUAAUUC
rnacentral:rRNA from 1 species